GACGAACGCUGGUUUCGUGCUUAACACAUGCAAGUCGAACGGAAAGGCCCUGCUUUUGUGGGGUGCUCGAGUGGCGAACGGGUGAGUAACACGUGAGUAACCUGCCCUUGACUUUGGGAUAACUUCAGGAAACUGGGGCUAAUACCGGAUAGGAGCUCCUGCUGCAUGGUGGGGGUUGGAAAGUUUCGGCGGUUGGGGAUGGACUCGCGGCUUAUCAGCUUGUUGGUGGGGUAGUGGCUUACCAAGGCUUUGACGGGUAGCCGGCCUGAGAGGGUGACCGGCCACAUUGGGACUGAGAUACGGCCCAGACUCCUACGGGAGGCAGCAGUGGGGAAUAUUGCACAAUGGGCGGAAGCCUGAUGCAGCAACGCCGCGUGCGGGAUGACGGCCUUCGGGUUGUAAACCGCUUUCGCCUGUGACGAAGCGUGAGUGACGGUAAUGGGUAAAGAAGCACCGGCUAACUACGUGCCAGCAGCCGCGGUGAUACGUAGGGUGCGAGCGUUGUCCGGAUUUAUUGGGCGUAAAGGGCUCGUAGGUGGUUGAUCGCGUCGGAAGUGUAAUCUUGGGGCUUAACCCUGAGCGUGCUUUCGAUACGGGUUGACUUGAGGAAGGUAGGGGAGAAUGGAAUUCCUGGUGGAGCGGUGGAAUGCGCAGAUAUCAGGAGGAACACCAGUGGCGAAGGCGGUUCUCUGGGCCUUUCCUGACGCUGAGGAGCGAAAGCGUGGGGAGCGAACAGGCUUAGAUACCCUGGUAGUCCACGCUGUAAACGGUGGGUACUAGGUGUGGGGUCCAUUCCACGGGUUCCGUGCCGUAGCUAACGCUUUAAGUACCCCGCCUGGGGAGUACGGCCGCAAGGCUAAAACUCAAAGGAAUUGACGGGGCCCCGCACAAGCGGCGGAGCAUGCGGAUUAAUUCGAUGCAACGCGUAGAACCUUACCUGGGUUUGACAUGGAUCGGGAGUGCUCAGAGAUGGGUGUGCCUCUUUUGGGGUCGGUUCACAGGUGGUGCAUGGCUGUCGUCAGCUCGUGUCGUGAGAUGUUGGGUUAAGUCCCGCAACGAGCGCAACCCUUGUUCACUGUUGCCAGCACGUUAUGGUGGGGACUCAGUGGAGACCGCCGGGGUCAACUCGGAGGAAGGUGGGGAUGACGUCAAGUCAUCACGCCCCUUAUGUCCAGGGCUUCACGCAUGCUACAAUGGCUGGUACAGAGAGUGGCGAGCCUGUGAGGGUGAGCGAAUCUCGGAAAGCCGGUCUCAGUUCGGAUUGGGGUCUGCAACUCGACCUCAUGAAGUCGGAGUCGCUAGUAAUCGCAGAUCAGCAACGCUGCGGUGAAUACGUUCCCGGG
rnacentral:rRNA from 1 species